rfam:Cavia porcellus supercont2_4 genomic scaffold, whole genome shotgun sequence.
GGGGAUUUAGCUCAGCAGCACAAGCGCAUGCCUUGCAAGCAUGAGGUUGUGAGUUCAAUCCCCAGUACCCCCCA